rnacentral:rRNA from 1 species
GACACAGGUGCUGCAUGGCCGUCGUCAGCUCGUGUCGUGAGAUGUUGGGUUAAGUCCCGUAACGAGCGCAACCCCUAUCCCUGGUUGCUAACAGGUAAUGCUGAGAACUCCAGGGAGACUGCCGGUGACAAACCGGAGGAAGGUGGGGAUGACGUCAGGUCAUCAUGGCCCUUACGGCCAGGGCUACACACGUGCUACAAU